rnacentral:misc_RNA from 1 species
GUGGGAGGGGGCUUGCUCCCGAUGGCGGUGGGUCAGUCCCAGAUGCAUUUACUGAGACUCCUCCAUCGGGAGCAAGCCCCCUCCCAC